rnacentral:tRNA from 1 species
GCCCUGAUGGCUCAAUGUUUAAGCGUUUGGCUGCUAACCAAAAGGUUAGUGGUUUAAACCCACCCCUGGCU